AAUGCCGGAUGCUCCAGUUGGAUGCAUGUCCUUCUGGGAAAGAUUCAUCGGUAUGGGAUGGGGUCGCGUCCUAUCAGCUUGAUGGCGGGGUAACGGCCCACCAUGGCUUCGACGGGUAGCCGGCCUGAGAGGGCGACCGGCCACAUUGGGACUGAGAUACGGCCCAGACUCCUACGGGAGGCAGCAGUGGGGAAUAUUGCACAAUGGGCGCAAGCCUGAUGCAGCGACGCCGCGUGCGGGAUGACGGCCUUCGGGUUGUAAACCGCUUUUGACUGGGAGCAAGCCCUUCGGGGUGAGUGUACCUUUCGAAUAAGCACCGGCUAACUACGUGCCAGCAGCCGCGGUAAUACGUAGGGUGCAAGCGUUAUCCGGAAUUAUUGGGCGUAAAGGGCUCGUAGGCGGUUCGUCGCGUCCGGUGUGAAAGUCCAUCGCUUAACGGUGGAUCCGCGCCGGGUACGGGCGGGCUUGAGUGCGGUAGGGGAGACUGGAAUUCCCGGUGUAACGGUGGAAUGUG
rnacentral:rRNA from 1 species